rnacentral:rRNA from 1 species
UACGUAGGGUGCAAGCGUUAAUCGGAAUUACUGGGCGUAAAGCGUGCGCAGGCGGUGAUGUAAGACAGGUGUGAAAUCCCCGGGCUUAACCUGGGAACUGCAUUUGUGACUGCAUCGCUGGAGUGCGGCAGAGGGGGAUGGAAUUCCGCGUGUAGCAGUGAAAUGCGUAGAUAUGCGGAGGAACACCGAUGGCGAAGGCAAUUCCCUGGGCCUGCACUGACGCUCAUGCACGAAAGCGUGGGGAGCAAACAGG